AUGGAUGAACACCUCGCGCUGCUGGUGGACCGGCUGCUCACGGAGUCCAUGCUGGAGACGGCCAUCGGGACCAGGAAGCAUCCUGACAUGGAGGCGGCGCUGGCCAUCGACUACUGCUGCAACGUCACUGCCGCCGCCGGUGACCGCGGACCGCCAACGCCGAGCAAGAUGGUGGAGUGCAGGAUCUGCCAGGAGCAGGACUGGGACUCCAGCAUGGAAACCCCCUGCUCCUGCCACGGCAGCCUCAAGUUCGUUGUAGAAUACCAGUUUGAUGGAAUGCCUAAGGCUGACAAGGACACUAACGAGGUCUACGCAUAG
rnacentral:rRNA from 1 species